rnacentral:misc_RNA from 1 species
GUUCCGUAGGUGAACCUGCGGAAGGAUCAUUAAUGAGUUGUCAUGGGGUUCGAUGCUGGCAGCCAAUUUUUUGAUGCAUGUGCUUGCCCUAACAAUCAUCUUCCAAACACCUGUGCACAUUUUUGAGGGAGUCUUGAGUUGGUUGCCGCUCUUGGGUGAUUUUCUCACAUUCCCUUAAAUCAUGAUACGCUAAUAACAAUGUUGAACGUGCUCUGUGCCGCAAGGCUAUUAAUAUAAUACAACUUUUAACAACGGAUCUCUUGGCUCUC